UGCAGCCAUGUUUUGAGCCAAAUAUCAUCCGUAUCAAUUUUAUCAGAUUUAUCUCUUCCACCGCCUUCACCAUUUCAUUUUAUCAGAUUUAUCUCUGCUACCGCCUUCGUCAUUUCAUUUCCGAAAAAAUUGACAAAAACGCAGCAAACUUUGAUUCUCAUUUUUUUUCCUUGAUUUCCAUUUGUUCUUUCCAGUGCAGGCAUCAAAAGGUGCGGCGCGACUAGGACGUAAAUUUUGAUUGAAUUUCUCAAAGUUAGCCUUCAAGUUGAAGUUCAAGUCUCGGGUGUGAGAUUUAUUUCAGUACAUGCUGUGGUUAAUUCUUGUCCAUUUUAAUAAUAUGUGUUUACCAUAUGUGUUAUGACGUAUAUUUUGAGGAUAUCGCUAGGGGCCCGUAAAUAGGGUCCAGGAUUUCACAGUCCUUGGAUUGCCACAAUGCGAUUUGAGGUAUAUUUUGAGGAUGUCGCCAGGGGCCCGUAAAUAGGGUCCGGGACUUUAAAGUCCUUGGAUUGCCACAGUGCGAAUAUUGAGGAUAUAUAUGAAAUGACCAUAUGUGUUACCGUUUUAUUAACGUGGACAAUUAUUGCAUGUUCCCACACUGAGUGUACUCUGUAUGCUUAUCUCAUAUUUAACAUCUUCAGGUUUUAAAGACCGGAGACGCGUAGCUAAAAUCAAAUAUUUUGAAUUUAGCUAUACUUAAAAAUGUUAUGUUGAUUAAAGUGUUUUAAUAAAAUAUUUAUUUCUUUAUUUUCACAUUAAAUAUCUAUUUAUAGUCAUGAUUUUUCCGCGUGCGUUUUCUUUUAAAAUUAAAUUGGAUUUGGGUGUCACAAUAAGAUUUGCAAGAGAGGUAAUAGUUGCAGCCUUGCAGGAGUAUGCAGACAAGAUAAGAUUUCUUUGAAUAAAUUUUAUUAUAUAAAAAGUAUGCGCUUCUCAUAAUCUGUAGACCUAUCUUAUCAAUUUUACUCGUCAAGAAGAAAAAAUAAAAUAUGAAUUAUCAUGCUGCUGGCUCUUCUUAUAUAUUUUCUUCUUCAAGCUCAUCUAAUGAUGAGAUUGAAGGUAUACUCAAUGAAUGUGAUGUUGAACAUCAACUGAUGUCUCAACAUAUUUUGUCAAAUAAUUUCAUUGUAACAAGCCUUAUUGAAAAUCAAAAUGCUACAACAAUCCACAAAGGCUCAGUUCCUGGUCGUAGGAUGAUCCAUCGUGAUCGAGAAGCAGCUGCCCAACGCCUGUUGAAUGAUUAUUUUUAUGAAAAUCCAACAUUUAAUGAAGGAAUAUUUCGUAGACAUUUCCGAAUGUCUCGAAAUUUAUUCCUUCGUAUUGUUGAUGCUGUAAAAAAUCAUAAUAGUUACUUUCAGCAAGGAAGAGAUUGCACUGGUAGACUGGGCUUGUUCACAUUGCAAAAAAUAACCGUUGCAUUUCGGAUAUUGGCAUACGGGGUACCUGUAGAUGCCACUGAUGAGUACAUCAACAUUGGUGACUCUACUGCAUUUAAAUGUGUCAAGAAAUUUUGUCGUGCAAUUGUGGAAAUAUUUUCAAGUCAAUAUCUUAGAUCUC